rnacentral:rRNA from 1 species
CCUACGGGCUACAGCAGUGAGGAAUAUUGGUCAAUGGACGAGAGUCUGAACCAGCCAAGUAGCGUGAAGGAUGACUGCCCUAUGGGUUGUAAACUUCUUUUAUAUGGGAAUAAAAUGUUCCACGUGUGGGAUUUUGUAUGUACCAUAUGAAUAAGGAUCGGCUAACUCCGUGCCAGCAGCCGCGGUAAUACGGAGGAUCCGAGCGUUAUCCGGAUUUAUUGGGUUUAAAGGGAGCGUAGGUGGAUUGUUAAGUCAGUUGUGAAAGUUUGCGGCUCAACCGUAAAAUUGCAGUUGAAACUGGCAGUCUUGAGUACAGUAGAGGUGGGCGGAAUUCGUGGUGUAGCGGUGAAAUGCUUAGAUAUCACGAAGAACUCCGAUUGCGAAGGCAGUUCACUGGACUGCAACUGACACUGAGGCUCGAAAGUGUGGGUAUCAAACAGGAUUAGAUACCCGGGUAGUC